GGAGGCGGCGGCGCACACCGUUAAUCCAGCACUCAGGAUGGGUGGAGGCGGCGGCGCACACCGUUAAUCCAGCACUCAGGAGGCAGUGACAGAUGGAUCUCUGUCCUGUGAUGGUGGAGAGGAAGCCAUGUUCUGGGAACCACUGCUGUGAUGAGCGAUGAAGCAUUGCUCUCUGGGAAAGGUUACCCAUUGGAGAAAGAAGAAUCAUACUCCCCAACAACAGACCAACCACUUACUGCAAGCAAGGCCAAGUGCCAGGGGGCACGAGGAUGCUCUGGUUCCUUCCUCCACCAGUCAUGGGGCUUAAGAGAUGCCAAAAGACUAAGAUGGGACCAGUAAUACAAAUUGAAAACCCUGUGAUCUGAUGGCCUUGGUUUCAGCGUCUGCACCUCAGAAGAGCACACCAAUAUAGUAGUUGCCUGCUAGAUUUCAAGAAUAAGAAGAGCGCACACAUCCUUCCACUGGACUGAAAAUGCAAGGCUUAAGUGGGGUGCAGAUUACCUAGUGAGACCCAGUGGGCCACACCCCACCCUGAAGAUGUCUCGAGGCCUCUUUCCGCUUUCCUCAGGUGUUCAUCAUCAAUCAGAGCAGGAGUGCACGUGGAAGAAGUGACUUCCUCAAACCUCACAAGCAGAACCCUCGGGCACUGCCCGUCUCUCCAGGGCCUCUGGAGGAAAGGCUGCUACUGUGUGCUGGCAGGUGACAGAUAACACACAGUUUGGACUCUAGAAAGCCCCCCCCCCCCCGGCUUUACUAAAUUGCUUUCCUCUGGCACUUUGUUUGAAAGCCCAUAAACAGCUGUCUUUCUAACAAGCACUGAGAGCGCACGCUCACAGAAAAGAGAAAUGGUUCCUGGGGUGAAGCACUAACUCCAUUCACACAGGUCAUGGCCUUCUGUGUACACUGUGACGUCAGCUGAAAUGCGGGCCACAGCCCAAAUGCACGGCCGUAUUGGUGAGAUUCUGGUGAGGUGGGGGCAGUUCUCCCCAAUGCACUGCAGCUGCACAGAAGUCCUGGAAGGUGGCUGGUUCUUAGCCAAGUACAGACUGAGAAGACGGCCUGGUGGGAACCGCAGCAGAGCAUUCCCUGGACAGCUGAUCCAGGAGUUACCUAAGGGAAAUGUUUCCUGCCUAAUGGGUGGCACUUUCAUGAAACCAGGAGCCAAAUGCAAUGGUAGAAGGUCACAGCGGGCACAGUCUUCCUUCAGUUAUGCCCCGAGAAGCAGCUGCUUUGCAUGCGUGACCGCAUGACUGCAUACGUGCAUGCAUGAAAGCACAGUUUGCCUAUCAGUGGAUUGAGUCCUGAAGGGUAUAUAAAAUCUGCACCAAUGUUUUCUGCUGGUUGCUUUAGAUAGGAAGGAAGGUGCUAGGAAGGAAUAGUCAGAAUAGAAGAAGAAAGAAAGGAAAGAAAGGAGAAAGAAAGAGAGAGAGGGAGGGAGAAAAGGAGGCAGAGUGUAGGAAGGAAAGAGGGGGACAGGAAGGAGGCAGGUGAAAAAAGAUAGAUGUAUACUCCAUCAAGAACCAAGUUGCCUCACCUGUAGACUCAUCAAGCCCAUGAAGAAACUGAUGAGAGAUUUAGGCAACACAUUAUAAAAUGGUGGUGUGGCUAACUGAGGCAACUUCCUGUGUGGGGAAAGGAUCUCACAGCGACUUUGGACACAGCCCUAAGGAAGCGGUUUGCUGGUGGUACCUGUAAUCUCUGCAGGUUUUCACUGUGUUCAUAAUGCUUUUAAAUUGACAAAAAUCAAAAGCAAUGGUGGUGUGUGUGUGUGUGUGUGUGUGUGUGUGUGUGUGGUGUGGUGUGCACGUUACCUAAUAGUUUAUGUGAGCAUUGUCAACUGCAUGGCUGAUUUAUUCCAUGCUUGACCCACGAUAACAAUACAUGUUAAAUAAAGUCAAUCUAAAUGCAGUUCCAAAACCUACUGAAAAGAAAAUACUAAACACACACAC